UACGUAGGGGUGCGAGCGUUAAUCGGAAUUACUGGGCGUAAAGCGUGCGUAGGCGGUUCGUUAAGUGCGUCGUGAAAGCCCCGGGCUCAACCUGGGAAUGGCGAUGGAACUGGCGGGCUGGAGUAUGGCAGAGGGGGGUGGAAUUCCGCGUGUAGCAGUGAAAUGCGUAGAGAUGCGGAGGAACACCGAUGGCGAAGGCAGCCCCCUGGGUCAAGAUUGACGCUCAUGCACGAAAGCGUGGGGAGCAAACAGG
rnacentral:rRNA from 1 species